rnacentral:lncRNA from 1 species
UAAUCUAGACUCUUUUCUAUGUUCUAUAUACACACAGAAAUACACAUGCAAAGCUGAACACAUGUGUGAAACAAAAUUCAGACACUCAAAUUUUCCGCCAACACGUGAUAAAAUCUUGCACAAUAGCUUCCUCCACAGAGGAAAAUGUCUUUACUACAUCUUAAAAAUGGGGUAAAUGAAUAGUUAGGCUCUUCAGUGUAAUAAUCAUGAUAAAUAUUCUCAAUAUGCGAAAAUACAAACAAAGGACUUUCUCUCCCAGCAAAUUUAGACCCACAUGAAAAUUUAAGCACAAUCAUUUUAAACGAAUUUAUCCUGGAGCUUAGUGGUUCGAGUUCAAGGUUGAGGAGCAGUCUGGGGACAUCAGCUCUUAAUAUUUUUCAAGUUUUGGAGCAAGUGGUUUCUAGGUUCUGAGUGAAGUGAAACAGAAUCUCUAGGGGCAUGUGGUAAAGAUAAUCCCAUACUAUGUACUGCGUAGAGUUAAAGAGAAGAGGCGAGAGCAUGAAGAUAAACCAGU